CAUCACCACUGCUCUGAGGAGGAGCUGGCCUCUCGCUCCAGCCAGCUGCGGUGUCUGGGCAUGGACAGGCCACGGGCACUAAGAGAGGAGUGUGAGCUCAUAUCUGGAGUCAUUUGUUUCUGUGCCUUUCUCCCCCGGAUUGUGUCUCUGUCCCCAUCCUCCGUGCCUGUGGGACCCCAGCACCGGCAGAAGCUGCCCACCGGAGACAGGAGCUGGUCAUAGAGCCCAGAUCCUUAACUUCAGGAAGCAUCGACUGGGACUGUUUUUCCACUAUGCUUUGCAAACAGCCAAGCAGGAAAUACUUCCCAAAGCAUUGUAAGAAGCUAAUCGGCCCUCGAUGACAGAACCCGUCACCAACAGGACCCGGAAGGAAGAUGACAAGUCUCCAAAGAUACCAACGAGGGAUAAUUUAUUGUAACCGAGUUGGGUUUAUCCCAGAAUGGAAAGUGGUUGAAUGUCACCAAAUAAAUGAAUAUAAUCCUCCACAGCAAUAUCUUAGGGUCAUUUCAAUAGAAGAGAAAAAGUAUAAAAUGCAAUGUCCAUUCAAGAA